CCAAUAGCGUAUAUUUAAGUUGUUGCAGUUAAAAAGCUCGUAGUUGGAUUUUGGGUGGGAGGGGCCGGUCCGCCUUCGCGGGCGUGCACUGGCCCUUCCGCCUUUCUUGCCGGGGACGUGGUCCUUGCCUUUACUGGCCGGGAUGCGGAGCCGGCGCUGUUACUUUGAAAAAAUUAGAGUGUUCAAAGCAGGCCCACGCUCUGAAUACAUUAGCAUGGAAUAACGCGAUAGGACUCUGGUCCUAUUGUGUUGGUCUUCGGGACCGGAGUAAUGAUCAAUAGGGACAGUUGGGGGCAUUCGUAUUCCAUUGUCAGAGGUGAAAUUCUUGGAUUUAUGGAUGACGAACUACUGCGAAAGCAUUUGCCAAGGAUGUUUUCAUUAAUCAAGAACGAAAGUUGGGGGAUCGAAGACGAUCAGAUACCGUCCUAGUCUCAACCAUAAACGAUGCCGACUAGGGAUUGGCGGAUGUCUAUUUGAUGACUCCGUCAGCACCUUGUGAGAAAUCAAAGUUUUCGGGUUCCGGGGGGAGUAUGGUCGCAAGGCUGAAACUUAAAGGAAUUGACGGAAGGGCACCACCAGGCGUGGAGCCUGCGGCUUAAUUUGACUCAACACGGGGAAACUCACCAGGUCCAGACAUAGCAAGGAUUGACAGAUUGAGAGCUCUUUCUUGAUUCUAUGGGUGGUG
rnacentral:rRNA from 1 species